CUGGGAAUAGAGCUUUCCAUUGGAACUCAAAAAAAAGGCAACGUUUAGGAAAAGAAUGCUUUAGUCAUAAGGUCACUGACUUCGAAUUUCUGCCUGUCUGCAAGAUCGGCAGCCAGGCCCUCCGCUACCGGGACUUUGAAAGUGGGAGGAGCGAGGGCCUGGGAAAAGCUCCAGAAAGUCCCGGUCUGGCCCUUAUUUCUGGUCAUCAGCGAGAACCCCAGAGCUGCGGCGGAGGGUCCCUUUCCUAGAACAGAGUUCGCAUGAGGAGGACAGCAGGGCGCUGGCUUUGGAGUUGGGCCCGUGCUCGUCCCGAGGUGUGGCGAAGUGCGUCACCUUGUGAACUGCAGCUCGCCUCUCCCUGACAGGACCCGGAGGUACCUUUGGCAACUGUUUCCAGGGCAGCUGCCUCUGUGUUGGUCGGGCUUCUUGGAGAUGUAAGCAACAAAACUCAACCCUGAGCAGCUUAAGGAAAACAGAAAAGGUUGGGGUGAAAGUUGCUGGGUUUCUUGGAUUCUAGGAGGAAGGCACCUGUGAAGCUGGAGGCUGCCCGGAGCUGGAAUCUUGCAACCCCAGGGCUUUCUGUUCACAUCUCCUCCAAAUGCCUCCCUUCUUGCUGACUUCAUCCUCUAGACCCGUGUCUCAGGGUGGCCAGACCACCCCGGGGCCAGCUGGGAGCUGCAGGCUCACUGCCCGGGCGAGAGAGGAAAACUGGAAAAUCCAAGCUGGUACCAAGAGAUGGAUGCCUGAUCUUGCAAGAGUUUUUUGUUUGUUUGUUUUCCCCAACCAUUGCACAGAUCCAAAUAGGAUGAACAAAAGUUCAGCCCUUUAGCACUGGGUGCUGCACCUGCUCUGGAACUGUAUCAGUCAGCUUUUCAUUGCUGGGACAAAAUACCUGACACAACACAAAGGAGAAAAGAUGGAUUUUGGCUCCUGGUUGCAGAGGUUUCUGGCCAUGGUUGGCUGCUCCAAAGCAGGAACAUCAAGGUGGAGGCGAACUGCUCAGCACACAGCACCCAGGACAAAAGCAGGAGGGAAGAGCCAGAGAGAGGGACGAAGGACAGGCUGCACUCUUCUGCUAGGUUGGCCCACCUCCCCAGCCAGGCCGGGCUCCCAGCAGCACACUCAGCUCUGAGCUCGUGAAUGGCUGAGACCGCGGGCAAGCUUAACACUCAGAGAUCCAGCACCUUCCAAAGGGCACACUCUGACCAUGGAGCCCGUGGGGACAGUUUUGAUCAUUGUAGGAUUCUCACUAUGUUCUCUCAGAUGCCACUCCCUUUGGGCUCAAGAAGGUUACUAAGUGUUGUGCUGGUUUUGUUCUUUCCCUCUCCUAAUUGAUUCUUCCACAAGUUCCUGGUCACUUCUUGUCAUCAAGACUCCACAUCUCUGAUGGAGUGCAGUGGGCUACAGGCUCCACUCAGGCCACCAGAGAGAAACAGAACCACUGUCUGCCUGCUUGGAUUCUGGGUGUGGGGAGCCUGUUUUCCAAUGUCCUCUUCCUCCUCAACUGCCUCAGAGGACCUUUUGCUGUUAGGAUCUGUCUCCCUCCUGGCCAUGAUGUCACAGAGGGCCUUAUCCCACUGUGUGUCUUGGCCCAUGCAUACAGUAGGCUCUCAAUACAUAUUUCAUUUCUGUUUUGUUUUUGAGACAGUCUCACUAUGUUUCCCAGACUAGCCUGAACUCACUAUGUAGCUGAGGCUGGCCUUAGACUCACAGUGAUCCUCCUGCCUCAGCCUCCUGAGUGCUGAGAUUACAGGAAUGUGCUACCAUGUCUGGCUAAUUUCUUGAAUGAAUGGGCACUGAUACCAUAGAUGGCAGAAGGAAGGAAUUACUUUUUCAGUGUGAUUGGGGUGUUGUCCACUAAGGUGAGAGAAGCAUGUAUAAAUCCCUGUUUUCCAAGUGUGUGUUGUGUUGAGCAUGAACUUUGGGUGUUUGAUUCUCCAGUCUUCAAAGCCAAAAGCAUCCCCAUGGUUUCUGUGUGCUUGUAUCUUGUGACUAGCUUCAGUUCCAAGUUUUGGCUGUGGGCUACUUACCUGGCUGGGCCUUGCUGAGACCACACUUAAUCCCACCCUCUCUCCUCACCACUCUUUCCCCAACCCCAUGCAGGAAGAUGCUCCCGAGAGAGCCUAGCAGAGCAGGUCCACUCACCAGUCCCUCCUCCUACUGGGCAUGCUCAGUGGUGCUCACUGUUUGCAUGUGGAGCUGUGUGGUGGGCAGAGCAAGGGCUCAGGGCCCUCCCGAGCAGGAGUCCAGGUGUUGACUCUGCAGUCCAGGUGGUCAAAAGUAAGGAGCAGCAAAGCAGAAAAGGCUACUACUAUUUGCCAGCUCCUUAAGGAGGGUUUCUGCAUCCCACUGGGCAGGCUGGAGGCACAUGGCCUUACCUAGCUGCAAGGGAGUCAGAGAAUUGGGUCUUUUUUCUGCCUUGCCACUUGCCAGCUCUGUUACAGUGGAGGAAAGAGAAAAUGAGGCUUGAGGAUAGACUCUGCCUCAUGAACCCAUCCACCUCUCCUCAUGAUAUCAUCACUCUCAGGAAACGUAAGUGUGGUUCCAAAGAUCUCACUGUAUUCCUUUUGACCAAUCUAAUGGGGCCAGCCUCAUGUUUGGCACCAAUACACAUGUCAUCCCCAUGAAUCUAGGCACUGGGGAUACAAAGAUAAAUAAGAAACAGUUCUCUCCAAAUAAUGGAAUGGUUCUUGUGCAGCACCAGUGGCAGUUACUGGGUGUGAGGAAGGGGUUUUGGGCCCUCUUAUGGGGUUACAGGGGGUGACCCCAUAAGGGCUUGGGAGGGUUCAUAGAGGCCAAUUUUUGUAUUAGGGGAUCUUGAUGGAUAAAAGGGGCUUUAUUAGAAACAAGCAGUUAUGAGCCAAGUCAACUGCUGAGGACAUUUCUGUUUGUAGGAAAGAGAUUCUUGGCUCAAAUAAAUGGAUUCAAGCAAAGCAUCAGGGAGAAAGGGAGAGAGAAAACCCUUUGCCUUUCCACUUCCAUUUAUCCGAGGAACCAGGAGGGAAGAAUACAGGACACGUCUUGGUUUCAGGGAUGAAACGUGGCCGGACUUCUUGUCACACCAUGAUUUCCUCUGAAAUGCUAGAUACGUUUUCGUGCUGAAACACAAGCCCAGCAGAACAUUAAUGGUGUGGAGAGGCCCCGUUAGAGAUGCGUUAACUAUUGGACAGUAGAAUUAGCUGGAGUAGAUUGAGAUAACAGUUUAUGCUAGAAUGAUAAAAAUAAUCUCAUUGGGAGAACAACAAGAGAGCCCGGAGGAAAGCUUUAAUGAUGGCAGUAAAAGCAGUCUUGCCUAGCUUUAAUGGUGCAAAUAGGGAACAGGAAGAUAAAGUGGCUUUCAAAAAUCAUAUGGUACUAUUGUGGAAGGAACUAGGAUUUUUUUCAUAACUGAGAAAGUUUGGUUUGCUUAGUUACCAAACUGCUUUUAUAGGUGGUCUUUCUACAGCCUCCUGUCAAGUUUCAAAUGAUACACUUUGUUUUCUAAUAUAUAUUCACACCUACAACCGAGAAAGUGCCACAGUUGAGUGUGACUAAUGUCUCACAAAGGCUUUCAUCAUGCCACUCAACGACAAUGUAAACAGCAUAGAUAGCGAGGUUACAAACAUAAUUAUAACCCUUGGAGCCGUCACAUGUCAAAGCUGGAUUCAAAGUUAUUGGAAGAUGCUACUUCCUAAAAGAGCGCAGAGUAACUGGUUCAUCAGAAUCUGGGGAAGAAUCAGAAACUCAUCCAGCCAACUCAAGCAUGAAGUCUGCAACAUUCCCUUCCUGUGGUGGCUUUGGAGGUCUUUGAGAGACCCUGAGACCAUCCCAGGGAAGAGAUAUACCCUGUGUAUGAAAGAUGCUACUCUCAGCAGGAAAAUAAGGACAAAAUAUAAUUAUACAAAAAUAUCAGUAGCUUUAAGCUGUUUUCCCAGGUUUUAACUUGAAUGGCUCAUUUUGAAAUACUUUCAUGAUAUAAUGACAAGGAAAUAUCAUAAAUACAUCACAGGUAAUAAACAUCAUCUUUAACUUGUAAAAUUCUUUAUGGCCACAGCCUGUAAUCUCAGCACUCUGGGAGGCUGAGUCAGGAGGAUUGCAAGUUCCAGCCCAGCCUGGGCAACUCUGUGACUUAGUGAGACACUGUCUCAACAUAGAAAUCAAGAGGGCUGGGGAUGGAGCUCAGUCUGAAGGCCUGAGUUCAAUCCCAGUAUUGCCAAAAGCAAAGCAAAAAUCUUAUUACUCAGUAGUUUUGUAUUUUAGUUGACCUAAUACUUUUUCUCUUUUUACUUUUACUUUAAUUUCCUCCUGCUUUUGUAGUUUUUAAGUGAACAGCUCCUAUCUCAUAGGACAGAUAUAGCUUUGCUCUCAUUUAGGGAGCCUUUCGUGUCCUGGCAACUUUGAUUUUGAUCUCUAAGAAUCCAUCAACCUCCUGGCCAAGUCCUUCCCCUAUCAGAAGCAUGCCUAGUGUUAUGCUUUAGAGCUAGACUGUUCCCCCCAAAUCUCGUGUGUGUGGAAGGUUAAUGGGUCACAGGGCACUGUACUCACCAGUGGGUGCUUCACUAAUGAGUUCGUGGCUGGAUGUACUUAUAGGACAUGGGGCCUGGUUGGAGGUGGUCACUGGGCAUUUGAUCUGGAAGGGUGUGGUCUUGUUCCCAGAUCUUCCCUUCUCUGCUUCCUGGCUGCUGUAGUUUUAGCAGCUUUCCUCUGCCAUGAUGUUUUUGCCCUGGAACCAGCCAACCAUGGACUGAACCCACUGUAACUGACAACCAAAUAAAUUUCUCCUCUUGUACAUUGUGGCUGUU
ensembl:lncRNA